UACAGAGGGGGCAAGCGUUAUUCGGAAUUAUUGGGCGUAAAGGGCGCGUAGGCGGCCUGGCAAGUGGAAGGUGAAAUCCCUCGGCUUAACCGAGGAACUGCCCUCCAAACUGCUUGGCUUGAGACCAGGAGAGGUGAGUGGAAUUCCCAGUGUAGCGGUGAAAUGCGUAGAUAUUGGGAGGAACACCAGUGGCGAAGGCGGCUCACUGGAACGGUACUGACGCUGAGACGCGAAAGCGUGGGAGCGAACGAGG
rnacentral:rRNA from 1 species